rnacentral:rRNA from 1 species
CGGAGGAGCGAUGUGGUUUAAUUCGAUGAUACGCGAGGAACCGUUACCUGGGCGUCGAACGUAAGAUGACUGUAGGUGAAAGCUUACAUCUCUUCGGAGCAUUUUACGAGGUGCUGCAUGGUUGUCGUCAGCUCGUGCCGUGAGGUGUCGGGUUAAGUCCCAUAACGAGCGCAACCCUACCUUUAGUUGCCAUCAGGUAAUGCUGGGGACUCUAAAGGAACUGCCUACGCAAGUAGUGAGGAAGCGGGGAUGACGUCAAAUCAGCACGGCCCUUACGUCCAGGGCUACACACGUGCUACAAUGGCCGAUACAGAGGGCAGCUACCUGGUGACAGGAUGCAAAUCUCCAAAGUCGGUCUCAGUUCGGAUCGGAGUCUGCAACCCGACUCCGUGAAGUUGGAUUCGCUAGUAAUCGCGCAUCAGCCAUGGCGCGGUGAAUACGUUCCCGGGCCUU